CCCUUAGAUGUUCUGGGCUGCACGCGCGCUACACUGGUGCGUUCAGCGAGUUUAGCACCUUAACAGAUAUGUUUGGGUAAUCUUCUGAAAACGCACCGUGAUGGGGAUCGAUUAUUGUAAUUAUUAAUCGUCAACGAGGAAUUCCUAGUAAGUGUGAAUCAUCAGUUCGCGCUGAUUGCGUCCCUGCCCUUUGUACACACCGCCCGUCGCUGCUACCGAUUGAGUGGUCCGGUGAAUUAUUCGGACCGGUGGACUGUGGGGAAACCCGCGGCCUGCUGGGAAGUCUUGUGAACCUUAUCACUUAGAGGAAGCAGAAGUCGUAACA
rnacentral:rRNA from 1 species